CAGGACAGGGCCUGGUUUUGCUCCUGAAAAAAAAAAUCACCCAGAGGCUCAGAUAGCUGCAUACUGAAAGCGUUCAGGCUACAUCCUAGAACCAGUUGCUGAUAUCCUGACUCCAGCUCAAGAGUUCCAGCUGUAGCCACCCCAAGAAGUCUAGACUUGGAAGGGAGCCAGAAUACCACAAGGACCUGCCCUAGAGAAGGAUGCUGCAUCCCACAGGUUAUACCCUUUCAAAAAGACAGUGUUCAACGUUUUUCUAGGAAGAUACAAAUCAAAGCCAAUGUCCACCCAAACAACCUCUCUGGCUCAGUUUAUUUUCUAACCAGCAUCAACUACAAACACAGUCAAACCUUUCAGGAGAUGCUCAAAUCCACUACUGAAAGCUGUCAGUACAUUUUACAAACAAGGCUGAACUCUGUCUUAUACAUGUACUGAUGGGCCAAGGAAGAGGAUCAAGAAAGCCAGCAUGUGCUCACAUCUCUUGCCUUCUUGCUUGCUUGCUCAGAUUGUUGUGAGCUGCCCACACCCUGAAAUGCCUCCGGCCAGUACACCCUGAGGAGCAAAGACUCUCAUUCCAACAACUCACCAGGAACCAGACCCAGCCGACAACCACUUGAGUGAGAUUGGAGGCAGACUCACUCUUCGUACAGACUUGACUGAAGCCUUAGAAAAAAACUCAGAGCCAAAAAUCCUAGUGAAACUAUGACCGGAUCUUGACCCAUAGUCACUGAGAGAUAGUAAAUGUUUAAGGGACUGAGUUUAGGGAUAAUUUGCUAAGCAACAACGAAUAAAAAUGAUCAGGGUUAUGGAUUGAAUUAUGCUCCCCCAUUCAUAUGUUAAAGUUCCAACCCCCAGUACCCCAGAAUGUGACCUUAUUUGGAUAUAGUCAUUACAGAUAUAAUUAGGUUAUACUUCAGUAGGUGGGUCUAAUCAAAUCUGACCAGUGUCUUUACAUCAAAGGGAAAUUUGGACACAGACAUGUCUAUGGGGGGAAAAGCCAUAUGAAGAUUGGAGUUAGGCUGCCACAAGUGAAGGAACUAUCAGAAGCUGGGUGAGAGGACUGGAACAUCCUUUCCUAGCACCUUCAGAGGGAACAUGGUUCUGCUGACACCUUGACUCCAGACUUCUAGCCUCCAGAACUAUGAGAGAAUAACACUCAGCUUGUGGCACUUUGUUACAGCAGUCCUAGCAAACUAAUACGGCCAGUAAAUGGAGAAGAGGUGUUAAGUCAUGUCAAGUAGAAGAGCAACCAAAGAAUGAUUUGCUCUGAUCCCAAUAGUCCUUAGAAACACUGACAUACCUUCGUUAAAUCUAGACAAACAAACAGAUAAAAGAACAAACAAAACAAUCUGUGUGCACCUAAUCAAAUGCCAUCACCGCAGGCUCUUCUGCUCACAGCAGUUGUGGGGCCACUGCAAUGAAUCCCUCAUGUGGGCAUGCCCCUUGCCUCACAGCCUCCUUCACGCACCUCAGAAAGGUAAAUGGGGUGAAGUAACUGGAGGAAAACAAACCAGAGCAAAACCUUGAGACACAGUAAAAAAAAAGAAAGGUGGAUGGAUAUAAGGAGAAUCCACAUGUAUCUCACCUCCUAUAAAGAUUUGAUCCUUAAGCAAAUAAGUAGUUUAGAGAGGAUUUAAUUCUUUUGUGUAAAUUAAUUUACAGCAUGAGUUGACCCAUUUGAAGAAGCACAGGGUGAAUCACUUCAACAAGAAAAAAAU